GCGAGGCUUGGGCGCUGCGGCGGUAGGAGGAGGACGGGGAAGGACGGAGCUCGGCCGAGGCGGCCUCCCUCACUCACUCCCUCGCGCGCUCGCCCGCCCCCUCCCUCCCUCCCCUCCCUUCCCUGGCCCCGGCCCCGGCCCAUUCGCUGCGCGCUCUCCGGCUAGGGAGGAUGUCGGGCUCUUCGCUCCCCAGCGCCCUGGCCCUCUCGCUCUUGCUGGUCUCUGGCUCGCUCCUCCCAGGGCCAGGUGCUGCUCAGAACGCUGGGUUUGUCAAGUCGCCCAUGUCAGAAACUAAGCUCACGGGGGACGCCUUUGAGCUGUACUGUGACGUGGUCGGGAGCCCCACGCCAGAGAUCCAGUGGUGGUACGCAGAAGUCAACCGGGCAGAGUCUUUCAGACAGCUGUGGGACGGUGCUCGGAAGCGCCGUGUCACCGUAAACACCGCCUACGGGUCAAACGGCGUGAGUGUGCUGAGAAUAACCCGGCUCACCUUGGAGGACUCUGGGACUUACGAGUGCAGGGCCAGCAACGACCCCAAGAGGAAUGACUUGAGGCAAAACCCUUCCAUAACAUGGAUUCGAGCCCAGGCCACCAUAAGCGUCCUUCAGAAGCCAAGAAUUGUCACCAGUGAAGAGGUCAUUAUUCGAGACAGCCUUCCUGUUACCCUGCAGUGUAACCUCACUUCCAGCUCUCAUACUCUUAUGCACAGCUACUGGACAAGGAAUGGGGUAGAACUCACUGCCACUCGUAAGAAUGCCAGCAACAUGGAAUACAGGAUCAAUAAGCCAAGAGCUGAGGAUUCAGGCGAAUACCACUGUGUAUAUCACUUUGUCAGCGCUCCUAAAGCAAAUGCCACCAUUGAAGUGAAAGCGGCUCCUGAUAUCACUGGCCAUAAACGGAGUGAAAACAAAAAUGAAGGGCAAGAUGCUAUGAUGUACUGCAAAUCAGUUGGUUACCCCCACCCAGAAUGGAUAUGGCGCAAGAAGGAAAAUGGUGUGUUUCAGGACAUUUCCAAUAACUCUGGUCGAUUCUUCAUCAUCAACAAGGAGAAUUACACUGAAUUGAAUAUUAUGAAUCUCCAGAUCACAGAAGAUCCUGGCGAGUAUGAAUGUAAUGCCACCAACUCCAUUGGCUCUGCCUCCGUUUUCACCGUCCUCAGGGUACGGAGCCACCUUGCCCCACUUUGGCCUUUCUUGGGAAUUCUGGCUGAAAUCAUCAUCCUUGUGGUGAUCAUUGUUGUGUAUGAGAAGAGGAAGAGGCCAGAUGAGGUUCCUGAUGGUGUUCUCCAAACCCUAGGCCUUGUCCUUCAGGCCAUGUGGUGAAUGGGCAGCUGUCAAACUCUUUGUUCAGCUGUGUCCUCCUUCAAUACAGAUCAUCAGGCAGAUUGAGCUUGAGGAGAAUCCAAGUCAAGCCUAGAAGCCACCCCAAGAUCACAGGCCACCUGUCCUUUCAGGCAGAUUUAAGAUGAUGAACCAGCCGGGCCAAUGAAAACCAACUCUACCAACAAUCACAAAGAUAAAAACUUGCGCCAGAGAAACACAAAUUAAGUACACUGCUUAUAAUCUCUUUAGGUUCCUGAAAACGGUGGCAACACGACCCGCUAAAUUUUCUGCUUGGACCUCUUUGGUCUCUCCCUUUCAAGUGAGCAACACCACAAUGACCGUCUAAAGCAUGCCUUAUUUAGCCUCUCCUAUAAGGGUGACCUAGCCAGGUACAUUUUAAACAAUGCUUCAGUGUAGAAGGUGUAAACUAUUUUGGGCUUGAUGUGCUGUGAAUGUUGCUUCCUUUCCCUUUGUUAAAAUAUUUAAAUAGAAAUGAAAAGGUCCUCUGAGGAUCAGGUCAUGCAUGCGCCAUUUUUUAUGCAGCUGUUAAAUUGGCAAAGCUCUAAAUGCACUGCUGCCAUCUAGUGACCAUUUUGUAAAGUACAGCAAAACCUACAGAUAUAUACAGUAUAUAAAUAUACAUAUAUAUUUAUAUUUUUGGGGGUGGGAGAAAUCCAAAAUAAAGUAAAUGCUUGUUUCAUUUUUAAGCUGCUGAUACCCAUUCCUUAUUGUCUGUUGUCAGAUCAGGAAGCUGCAGUUCUGUCUGGUACAUAAAGAUGAGAAUAUAAACUUAAGUCUGUCAUUCUAAGGGCUUACCCUAUAACUUUUAAGAACCUGGAACAGUCCACUGAACGGCUAUAAUGAAUUGCAGUAUAUAUAUGUAUGAUUGCUUUUUAAGUGACUACUUUCCUUUUGUCAAAUCAUGUAAAUUCUGAAAUCUUUUGCACCGAUGUGUUGAACCUUAUUCUUGUACAUUCAAUCAAGGCAACUUUUAUAAUUUCCCUUUUGUUUUCAAUGACCCUGAAAUGUCAAUAGCAUGGUGAUAUUCUAUGCAACUCUAGUUAUACUUUUUGGUUUGACACUGUAUUUUUCACAUUGAUUUAAUGAUUGAUGAUCAAUUUUAUAACCUGACUGGGUUCUCAUGCGGUACUAACUGUAGAUGCAUGUACUUGUGUUCUGUGUAAUUAUUGAAGUGCAAUGGUGUACAAAAAAAGUGGAUUCACCUCUUUUUAACAAUAAAACAUUGAUAAAAG